rnacentral:rRNA from 1 species
ACGAAGGGUCCAAGCGUUGUUCGGAAUCAUUGGGCGUAAAGCGCGCGCAGGCGGAUCAGCAAGUCAGAUGUGAAAUCUCGAAGCUCAACUUCGAAACUGCGUCUGAAACUGCUAGUCUAGAAUGUCGGAGGGGGCAGGGGAAUUUCACGUGUAGGGGUAAAAUCCGUAGAGAUGUGAAGGAACACCGGGGGCGAAGGCGCCUGCCCGGACGACUAUUGACGCUGAGGCGCGAAAGCCAGAGGAGCAAACGGGA